GUCCUUUGCUGCUAUUUUGUGCAGUAAGCGGUGUGGAUUUUCCUGUACUGGUUUUCUGUGUUUGUGUUGUUUGGCCGUUGCAGAAAGAUCAGGUAAUUCAACAAGGCAGUAGAAAACGCCAAUGGCAAAGAAUCUGCAAAGAUCUACUUAUAUAUAUUCCUCCCAAUACAUCAUGGUGUAAGAAGCCUAGUAGAGACAAGAUAGAUGAGGGGAUUGGGUGCUUUGGUAGUCCCAAAUAAUACCUAGAAGACUAGCUGUAACUGGUGAUGGUAAAAGCAGCCACAGCUUGCUGUGGAGGCAUUUUUAUGCAGGCAUCCAAUCAAAAGGGUAUGGGGCAUCUUUUUUUUUUUCCUACAGUUUAUUAUCAAUUUUCAUGAAAGGUUUCCCCAAGCCCAAUUAUGAGGUUGAAGAAAACAGCAUUCAGAUUCUUUAAAGUUCCUUGCCAGUUUUUGAAGAGAUUGGAAUUUUAACCUGAGUAAUGAUUACCAUUAAAAGGCUGUUUUUCUUCAGCCUGAAGUUCUGGUAGCUUGACUAAAAACAAGGACUGCUGUGCAGUUAUGACCUUGAGCUGGUGACUGUUCAACUACAAAGCUAAGGUGCUGCUUGUGAGGAAGUAUCUGUACCUAUGAAAAAAGGCUCUGCUACUCCAGUUUCAUCCUACAGACCCUGAUUGCCUUAAACUAUUCUUUUUCAACAGCUGUAAGAAGUUAUGAUGCGAAAGGUAUUGUGAACAUUUCUUUAAAGAUUGGCACAACAAUCCAUCUCUUAAGGGUCCCGUAUUGUAUGAACACCUUUAAGUAUUCCACCAUCAAGCAAACACAUAAAACUAUGUAUCAUGGUAUUUCUAGCUGACAGUUGUUGCAUGCCUUCCUGUUUUUAAUGCAUUUAAGGACUCUUGCUGAGACAAGUGGGGAGUUAUGAGUUGAGCUGAGUUUAAGGGGUCUGCGAUCAGGAGGCAGAUUGAGCCACAGCAGUGCCUAGAUACUGUGAUGUUUUUUCUCACUUUCUUUCACUCGUAGAAUAAGUAUUUAGGAAUGAGUAUACCCUGAUGGACAAUAUUUGGGAAUAUGUACUGCUGAUGGAUGUAAGUCUACUUGUUCACUUGGUUAAAAUAUAUAUCUUAUAUCUGUGUAUAAACACAAGGUAACUUUGGAGCUUUCAGUAGAAUUACUCCAGAGGAGCCUCACUCCAAAUCCUGUCACAUCCCUAGAUACUUCUUAAGGUUGUCCUAGAUCUUGUCUCCUAACCAGUCCAGGGACUUGCUGCUAUGCCCAUCUGACCAUGCAUUAGGUUUCUGUGGACAGAAGCCCGUGGAAGUAAAAGGCUGACCUCAGCAUGGAGUUAAGAUGCAGUCAAGACCAAGGAGCCCAGAAGAACUCAAACAUCUCCUAGUUUACGUAUAGGCGAGGUCCCCUGUGCAGAUGGCAGGUAAAGAGAGGAAAUCUGUAGGUCAUAAAUCUGUAUUUACUUGGCUGAAUAAAGAACCUGAUUGUUGGAGAUUUAAAAACAAACAAAAUCCCAACAACUGUAUCUUCACAUUAGAGAAACAAGCAUUAUUUUAUGGGACGUCCAUAAGUAAGCGAGGUGCCUUCGGGUACUUGGCUUGGGCAUGCAGUGUGAUUGACUGUUUGACCCAGAGACGUUUGGUCUGUUUUUUAACCAUGAAGAAAUUACUUCUAGUAACAUUUCCCAAACAGUACUAAUGCCAAUAGUACAUACUUCUUAGCUGAUAUGUUGAAAGAAAUUAACACAACAUUUCCAUUCUUGAGUUAUUGAAGUCACCGAGUUAUUAAAGCACAGAAAAUACCUGAAACUGAAACCAGAAAAGUGAGAUUUUUCCACACUUAAAAAAAACAAGACUGCCCAUGAACAGAACCUUUCAUACCAAAACACACUCCCACAGCUUCUGAAACUAUAAAAGAAACAAAAGAAGAGGAAAAGAAAGGGAAUUUUACUGUAACUGGGAGCAAUGGCAGAUUUUUAAGAGUAAGGAAUAAGUAUGGAUGCUGACAGUGGUUCUUAAUGUCUGAGGAUGAGUUUUUGUUUAGGCAUGAAUAACUGAAGAUGCAGGAGAAAUUCUCUUAAUGGGAGGAGAAGUAAUGCUGGAGAAGCGGUCUGAAUUUAUUUCACGCAAUACUUUUUUAAUAACAGUGUCGAUUAAAGACACCUGCUGAAGGUCUGUAAUGCUGGUUUACUGGGGAGAAAAAAUAACAAAGUUCUUUAGCCAUCCUGUCUUCGGUUCAAUAUUAUGGACUGUUAAAAGGGGGUUUAUGUGUGCAGUGUUAUUAACCGAGAUUCUGCUCAAAUUGAAGUCAGGCCCACAAACCUUGCUUUCUAUAGGACCUUGCUAGGUUUCUAAAAGAAUUUAAAACUGUACAAGAUAAUUAGUACGUUCUUGCUAUAUUUAGGAUAUUUUAAAGGCAGUCAGUCUUGGUAGAUAUGUUUCUGAACACUUGUGCUCUCUCUUAUCACAUGUGAUUUCUUUCUAGUGAGGUUAAAGUGCAACAAAAAUGGACCAAUGUCCUGUAUGAAGUCAUUACUAUUACUAGAGAGAAGAAGAAAAUCUACCUCCAAAGUGACCAAAGUAUAACUUGUAAUAGAACACCCAAUAUUUUCUGCUGGUUUUGUCAAGGCUAGAAGAUAUGGGCUCAGUUAUGAGACACGUUGCGGCAGAUGGCGAUGGGGACGGAACCCCGAAGACUGUGGCCUGGAAAAGAAAUUGAAGUCUGAGUUUAUAGCGAGCGCAAUGUUGUCUAACUAUGUUUAAUAUCGCCAUUUGUUUAAGCUUAAAUUAUGACGAUGAAGAUAAAGUAAUAACACACUGCGUUUUCAUCACUUGAGUUUGGAGAGGCCUCGUCUUUUUCCGUGCCUGUAGUCCUGAUGAUGAUUCCUUUGGCAGCUCUGCCGGCGAUAAGAGGAAUAACUCACCGCUGUCAGGGAAGCUGGCUGUUUCAUCACUGACAUGAGAGCCCGGCGUAACUCCAUGGUGAUCGCUGUCUAAAUGACUUAUUUUAGGAGGUGUUCCUUCAUGGAAAAGUGGGACGUGUGGUCUUCCUCAGUGUCCAGAAACAGACUGCUGUGUUGCACAGAAUCAAAAAACUAACAGAAUUUGUGGCAACAGGUGAAGCAGGGUUUCAGCUCCACCCUUCCCCACACGCAGGGAGUGCUUCAGAUGGAAAGCAGCCUGCUGUGUACCCCUGUGAGCAGUACUGGGAGCACCUCCUGUGGGUGUGGACACACCGUGCA
rnacentral:lncRNA from 1 species